rnacentral:lncRNA from 11 species
GAUGGUUUUAAUAUACGGUUUUAAAAAUAAAUGACUCUGGGACAGGCGCGCCUUGGACAGGCCUACCUUGUAUGGCACUGAAGGACCUUCCUGGCUCUCGCUGCGCCGCGGCAAGGAAAGGGUGUGUGGUGGGCGUGGCUAAAGGGCAGCGGGGGCGUGGCUUUGCCCAGACUCCGGCAAAGACGGACAGGGAAAGGAGGGGGCAAGAGAGACAGAGAUCGCAAAGCACCAUGGGACAAAGAAUCAUUUAUACCCUGCCUUUCUCACCCGAGGAGACUCUAGAAGCCUUGAAUCCUAUGUUGGCUCACCUUGGCUAUGUCCCAAUAUUAUCCUCUUCACUUUUUCCUGACAUCAAGAAUCCUGGCACUGAAAAGGGCUAAGACCAUAGAUGUUUCCUCAGAGACUCUUUGAUCCCCACCUUAACUCUGAAAUUGGACUUACUGGCAUCAGGAAUGAAAAUGCCAAUUUUCUCUUUGGCUCUGGGACAAUAGGAUAACACUGUUUGUUAUAUUAUUUUAAAACAAAAAUUUAAUAAACAUUCUAAGAACGGAAGGAUAAAGAAAAGCUCAGAGUGCUUAUAGGCAAAGGAUCUCUAUGAGUUUGUAGUUCAAAUACAUGCUGUUGUAUAAAAGUACUCCUUAUGUCUAAAAAUCAAAAUUCUAAUGUUGCCUCUUAUUUAGUGGCAACAGCCUUUCAGAUGCUUUUGGACUGCAACUACCAUCAUUCCCCACCAUUGACUAUGCUAGCUGGGGCCAAUGGAGAUUAUGUGACUGCAGCAGACAUAUUCCAUUGCAUCAAGAAAGUACACUUGUUCAUAAUAUAGCAACGGUGUUAUGCUUUUCAAGCCCUGUGACAUCCUGUUUUCACUUACUAACCUCGGUAGCAAAGCUUGAUCAAAGCAUCUUGCCUGUGGGCUUGAAAUGUAUUUUCCAAAUUUAAUAAAGGAUGACCUGAGUAAAUAAAUAUAAAGUCUAGGCCCUUAGUAAUGUAAAACAGUUGAAACUCAUGUUAUUAUCAAGUCUGUUAAGAUGUUUCUUGCUGUAUUUCCAUCCCAAAUCUCAAAGUAUUUUUACUAUUUGCUCUUCCCACUAGUGAUCGGAUAAAGAGAAAAUCCAAUAGGCUGUUUUUUCCUCUUUGAUAAAUGUAGUAAGUUGGCUCUUUGCCACCAGGAAGAUCAGUUUUAGAGUCUUGGUUGACAUCAUGGCCAAACUGCUGUCCAGUGACAUUAAAGACUCAAUUUGUAUUAGUGGCCUUGUUUGAUCGUUUUUCUUUGCCUUGGUAGUUUGAGGCUGGGAAAAGAUAUGAAGGCUGGAAAUGGACUAGAAGAGAAUGUUGUUCUGUUGCUAACCUGCAUGUGCAGUUUUCAUAUCUAUUGGGGAUGUAGGGGUGGAGAGAUGAAAUGGGUCAUAUUUGUACAUUUUGAUUUACCCAUGGGAUGCCUCUUUACUAUUGACCAGAACUUUCUGAACUGUAUGUCAUGACACUUUAGUGUGUUGGCUGCACAAUGUGAAUGUGUCACAUAAAUGUAAGAAGUUUGAGUUUAUGUGAAAUAAGCACCAAAUCAUAUAUUUUUAAAUAUAUAAAUGAACGAUUUUCAUAAGAUAUGUUGUGGACAUAGAUACAUUUAUCUAUGUGUCAGUAUCUCUUAACUUUUUUAAAACUUGGUUUAACUUUUGGAUGGCUAGUAAAAUUGAAUUACUGUGUCAUGAAAUGAUGCAUACCUAAAAAGGUGUGUCACCAACAUAAAAUGUUGGGAAAGCUCUGCCAUAGACCAUCUGCUGGAUCAUUUACUACCAGUGAAGCUUAUCUUCAGCAGUAACUUAUUUCAGCGUUAAACACUGAAAGAACUCUUGACAAUGCUCAAUUAUCAAAUAAAAGGGGUUUUUUUAAAUAAAAAAGUUAUAGAAACAAAUCAAGACAUCCCAUCUCCCCUGCCCCCUCCAAAGGGGUAAUCACUUGAGAUUUAUCAGAAGAUGACUCAAAUCACAUUGUAGAAAAAGUGUUCCACAAGUUACCUCUAUGAUCUGGAGGCUGAAAUUGUUGAUUCAUGCAUAAAUAACUGAAUAAAGUAAGUUCUGGAGUGACUGGAAAAAAGAUAAUGAUUCUUGCUCUGGGGCAUUUUGAAUUUUAUGCUGACUACUGAUUAUGUCAGAAGUCUGACAUCAAAAAGAGCACUGAAAGACCCCCUGCCCCUGGUGAUAAUCCAAAAUGAAAUAUAUUGUCUCUUUUUGUUACCAUGGGAUUUAUGACUUUCCUUGAUUUAAAAUAGCUAUGUGCAAGUUCCCUAUAUGUAAG